rnacentral:rRNA from 1 species
UACGAAGGGGGCUAGCGUUGCUCGGAAUUACUGGGCGUAAAGGGAGCGUAGGCGGACAUUUAAGUCAGGGGUGAAAUCCCAGAGCUCAACUCUGGAACUGCCUUUGAUACUGGGUGUCUUGAGUGUGAGAGAGGUAUGUGGAACUCCGAGUGUAGAGGUGAAAUUCGUAGAUAUUCGGAAGAACACCAGUGGCGAAGGCGACAUACUGGCUCAUUACUGACGCUGAGGCGCGAAAGCGUGGGGAGCAAACAGG